UACGGAGGGUGCGAGCGUUGUCCGGAAUCACUGGGCGUAAAGGGCGCGUAGGCGGCGCGGAUAGUCGGCGGUGAAAGCCCGGAGCUCAACUCCGGGUCGGCCGUCGAUACUUCCGGGCUUGAGCACUGUAGAGGCAGAUGGAAUUCCGGGUGUAGCGGUGGAAUGCGUAGAGAUCCGGAAGAACACCGGUGGCGAAGGCAAUCCCCCUGGGCCUGCACUGACGCUGAGGUGCGAAAGCGUGGGGAGCAAACAGG
rnacentral:rRNA from 1 species